AUGAGGAGAGAUCAGCUGCCGCAGGUGAGAGACAGACUGACCCACACGGAGGUGCUGAACCGACGUCUGAAGGAGGAUAUCAAUUUUAUGAGGAAACGCGGGCCGCUCGUGCACGAGAGACUCCAGCUGGAAAGUGAAAUCAUCAAGCAGGUCCAAACAGCACAAAGUGAGGCCAGUGAGACGUUUUCAAACAUCUCUCAGAAGCUAAAGAGUCUUCAGGAGAAGUUUAAAAAUGAGGAAUUCAGAGCAGACCUUAGGAAAGGAGAAAUGAACAAAGAAAUGGAAACGAUCAGAAAUCAUCUGAGUGACAAGCAGAGUGAGUUACAGCAGCUGCAGUCUCAGUGUGAGGUGUUUCAAAGAAAAAUUCAAGAGUCGAUAGAAAAACUAACAUUGAGAGUUUGAGAGGCAGGAAACAGACGUACAUGAAGAAACCAGUAUUCAUUUAGAAAACAUUCAACUGCCAGUUUGCUCACAGGAUAUUCGAUCAAAUCCAUUAAAAUAUUAUGAAGACAUUUUACAUUUUUUGGAAUAUUCUGACUGUUACAAUCAUAAGCUCAUGUUACUUCCUUUUUUUUUUUUUAU
rnacentral:lncRNA from 1 species